CUUGAACGCCUUAACUUUGCAGCAAACAACCUGAGUGAAGCAAUUCCUAAAAAGAUUGGAGAUUGCUCAAAACUGUUGUUCUUGAAUCUCAGCAAGAACAAAUUUGCAGAGAGUAUUCCUUUAGAGGUGGGCAAUUUACGCGUUCUUGAAAGUCUUGAUCUUAGUCAAAAUUUGUUAACAGGAGAGAUCCCGCCACAACUGGGAGGGUUGCAAAGAUUGGAGACACUGAACCUCUCCCACAAUUUGCUGUCAGGUUCCAUUCCAACUACUUUUGAUUAUGUAUCAAGCUUGACUGUGGUGGAUUUAUCCAAUAAUGAGUUAGACGGCCCAAUUCCCCACAAUAAAGCCUUCGAGCAGGCUCCAUUUGAAGCACUUCAAAACAACAGAGACUUGUGUGGCAAUAACACUAGACUAAAGGCAUGUGUCUCUGUUGCAAUCAACAAAACUAUCAGAAAAAAGGAUAGUAAAUUGGUUGUUCUCAUUCCUCUCGUGUGUAGUCUGUUUCUAUUUAUUGUCUUGGUUGGAGGUUUCUUCAUUCUCCGCCAAAGAAUUAGAAACAGAAAAGCUAAGUCAGAGGAAGGGCCGAGUGGUGAAGAUAUUUAUGCAAUGUGGGGUCGUGAUAAGGAUAUGCAAUAUGAAAACAUUGUUAAGGCUACAGAGGAG
rnacentral:misc_RNA from 1 species